rnacentral:misc_RNA from 1 species
AAGUCGUAACAAGGUUUCCGUAGGUGAACCUGCGGAAGGAUCAUUAUCACGUUCCCACGUUCAACAACCGUGAAUUGUCCCAUCCCGGUGGACGACAGAGAGUGAUCAUAUAGAAGAACAUGGGCUCUCGAUCGAGAAUCUGUGUUCGGAUGCGCUUUUGGCCAUGUAAAGUGUGUGCAUGAUGUUGCUUGCAACGUUGUUCACAAACUUUGCUGGGUUUCGAGCUUCCCUAUGAUCCAGGUCCCGCUGGGAUCGCUGUCACCAUUGGGCGUUUCCUACGCAAACCCGUGGCUCAUAACCACUAUAACCAAACUUGCAUUAUUAUGUUGCACUGAACUGUUCCUGCUUUGCGCUUGCGCAAAGACGAACAAUUAUUCAAACUUCGUACAACUCUUAGCAACGGAUACCUUGGCUCUC